UCCCUGAUGUUAGCGGCGGACGGGUGAGUAACACGUGGGUAACCUGCCUGUAAGACUGGGAUAACUCCGGGAAACCGGGGCUAAUACCGGAUGGUUGUCUGAACCGCAUGGUUCAGACAUAAAAGGUGGCUUCGGCUACCACUUACAGAUGGACCCGCGGCGCAUUAGCUAGUUGGUGAGGUAACGGCUCACCAAGGCGACGAUGCGUAGCCGACCUGAGAGGGUGAUCGGCCACACUGGGACUGAGACACGGCCCAGACUCCUACGGGAGGCAGCAGUAGGGAAUCUUCCGCAAUGGACGAAAGUCUGACGGAGCAACGCCGCGUGAGUGAUGAAGGUUUUCGGAUCGUAAAGCUCUGUUGUUAGGGAAGAACAAGUGCCGUUCAAAUAGGGCGGCACCUUGACGGUACCUAACCAGAAAGCCACGGCUAACUACGUGCCAGCAGCCGCGGUAAUACGUAGGUGGCAAGCGUUGUCCGGAAUUAUUGGGCGUAAAGGGCUCGCAGGCGGUUUCUUAAGUCUGAUGUGAAAGCCCCCGGCUCAACCGGGGAGGGUCAUUGGAAACUGGGGAACUUGAGUGCAGAAGAGGAGAGUGGAAUUCCACGUGUAGCGGUGAAAUGCGUAGAGAUGUGGAGGAACACCAGUGGCGAAGGCGACUCUCUGGUCUGUAACUGACGCUGAGGAGCGAAAGCGUGGGGAGCGAACAGGAUUAGAUACCCUGGUAGUCCACGCCGUAAACGAUGAGUGCUAAGUGUUACGGGGUUUCCGCCCCCUUAGUGCUGCAGCUAACGCAUUAAGCACUCCGGCCUGGGG
rnacentral:rRNA from 1 species